rnacentral:lncRNA from 1 species
GCGUGGCUAACUGCUACUCACUUUGGUUGCUGCAAGAAGUUUUCUAGAUGGAUAUGAAUUACACAACUUAAUAUUUACUCAUCUUUAAUAAUUUUUUUGGUCUAUUUCUAAUCCAAUCACACCUACUUUUUUAGUUAUAACUUACACGAGUCAUUCAACUCCAUUUGUGACUUGUUUUACAGAUCUAUCUUUGCCUUGAAUUAUAUCCCUCUCCGUCUCUCACAUCCUCAUAUCAACUGCGGGGAGACGAAGUUUAGGCAAGCUAGCAUGGAGUGGUACAGCUACCAAAGGAGGAUAUCUUCGUCUAGUUCUAGAGGAUGCCCUUACCGCAGACUAGACAAUUUUGUAACAGCUUAUGACGAGGAAGAGGACAAUGAGAAGAGUGCAGUUGUGUUGAGACAAAGACAGAUCAGUGAUCUCAACUUCAAGUACACAAAGAGGAGAGGGAUAUCUAAACUGCCACAGAAGAUAAUGUCGUCCAUCGUGCUUCUGAAAAGGUGUAGAGAUGCUUAUGUGGAAGUAAUGCUUAGCUUUGCUGAACAUGUUGUGCAGUUGAACGGUGGAAAUUCCUACUUAUAAAUGCUCCAUAGUCCUCACUUCUCAGCUCCGAAGUCGUUAAAAGUUCUACUUAAUCAAAUUAAGGACAAGUUUUAGUUUGUGGGUAUGUUGAUUUGGAUUAGGGCUCUUGUAUUAGAUUAGUGAUAUUUUACUUGAUUAUGUAUUAUGCAUAUAUUUAUGUUCCUGAAAUUCUAAUUAGCACUCCAAUAAAUCCAAUAUCAUGUUGAUUCUUUUUGAUAAACUUUCUGAAAAUCAGCGACUAAUUACAAUUACAUUACAUGUACACUUGGCCUGAUGAUUUUCAAAGAAACAUUUUCUCUAAAGUUUUGUGCUUGUGUAUAGGUAAAUAUAUAAUUUACCUUUUGUAUGUAAUAUACCUUGUGAGCAGAAAUGCAGGACCAAAUUCUGAGAUUCAUCAAGACUCUUGUCAACGUUUUGCUUUCCAAAAAAUAUCUUACAUCUUCUAGUUGCAGCUGCCAUGUUCACUCUGCAGCUAGGUUUGGUCACAGCAGCAGGUAUACAUGAUAAGGGUCGUAAUUUUCACACUCCAUUUCUUUCUCUUUUUUCGGUGUAGUAGAAAAAAUGAGAGUGCAAAAAAUUGUUUUCAGGUAAAAUAUAUGAUCGACUCUAUCCAUUAUUAUUCAACUUCCUUACAAGUUUUAUUUAUUUUUUACAUUGAAGUGUUGCAUGGUGAUGCAGAUCAUCACGAUAUGAAUAUAAUUAGGGAACUGAGAGAACGGCGGUCACCAACUCCUUUGAGUCCAAAAUCACCACUUGCAAACCAACAGCCGGGCAUGAGAGUACCUGCUCCUUAUCCUCCUGUUGAACAACCGCCUCCGGCUGACCCUCCUCCUCCUCCUCCUCCUCCUCCACAGCUUCCAAUCCCAAACAACAACAAUUUUGCCUGAAUUUCUUCACAACAUUAAUUAAUUUUCUAACUGCUAUGCUUUAAGCGCCAAAUGCAACUAAUAUGUAGUGAUUAAGCUUAGUUGCUUAGUUCAUUAAAGAUUAAUAAGUUGGAAUAAGGGGAUAAGAUUGCCAUGCAUGUAUUGUAGGUUUUCCGUUAUUUGCUUUUAUUAGAAAACGCAGUUUCCUUGCUGAUUUUCUUGUCACGGAUCGGCUAACCAAGUGCCGUCUUCUUCUGCUUCAGAUUUCUUUUUUCUUUUACUUAUCAGUAUUUUUAAAAAUUGCUUUUAUACGUAACGUACGUAUAUAUACAUAUACAUAUAUAUCCAGCAAGUAUGAUGAACACACGCGGUGAAAGGGACGGGAUCAUACCAUAUUGCUUAUAUGUAUAAUUGUAAGGAAGAAUAUUCAAAACAUAGUCGCCCCUGAGAUCUCAGAGGCCUUUGAGUUCUUCGAGCAUUGAUGCAUUCCACAAUCAUAUAUUUUAAUCGAAUCAGACUAUAAAGUUCGCAACAAAAACAUGCUAGAUAAAAUGUGAUCCAAAAGAAACAUAUUAGAGAUUGAUCCGUAGGGCUGGUUUGGGAUACUAACAUAGAAAGUACUUCUGCUUACAUGCGUUUUUACUUGAACUGGUUUUAUAGACAAACUUUUUCAUUAAAAGUUCAAGUGUUAUAUAAAAACACUUAAAAGUCGUUUGGAAGUGAUUUUAAAAUAGUUGCACACUCUUUUGGUGAAAAUGUUUUUGGGAUCAGUUCUUAGAAAAAAUGUAAAUGUAAGUGAAACCUGUAAAAGCACUUGAAGUGCUUCAUACUAGAAGCACAUAACCGGUGCUUCUUGCAAGAAGCAAUUCAUUUGCUUUUGGAACUUAAAAAUAUUUUUCCCAAAAACACUUUCAACCAUUAAAAUGUAUUUCCAAACGAGUCUUAUAUCUCUAGAAAACGCUUCUAUUACUAGAAUCGCUUCUAUAUUAAUCUAUCAACGUAUUCAAACCUCAAAAGUGCUCAAGUUUGUCAAAGUGCAUUUGUAACCAUGUUUUGAAGCCGUCUCAAACAGGCAGUAUAUGCUGCACACUAUUACUCAGCCCACAAAAACACAAAUUCGUACUAGUCCCUCUUUAAGUCC